AAGACUAUAGACCUGCGGAGUACCUGCGGAAGGAUCAUCAUAGAAAACACAUAUAUACCAGAGAGGAUUGGGGGGGAAUGGGAAUAUGUCGCCUCUCUUUUCUCUCUGGGCAAACAAACAUACAUGACUAAGGAAAGAAAGAAGCAGCAGAGAGAUGGCUUGGCUUGGUUGGAUCUGGGGGGCUUCUCUCGCAAAAGUUCCUGUCUGAUAAGUAGCUUACUGUGACUUGGAGUAGUUACU
rnacentral:misc_RNA from 1 species